rnacentral:rRNA from 1 species
AUGUACCAGUCAGACAUAUCAUUUGGGACUCUGAUAUCUCUUAUUAGGAGUGAGGGUUGCUGCUCUGAUGAUUAUAUGUACUAUGUUAGUGAUGCUCAUAAAGGGAUAGAAGGCUUAGAGAAAAUAUCUUCUGAAGAUGAUGUGCAGCAGAUGUUGCUCCACUCUCUAAAUGAAAAGAGUGUGAACAUAAGAGUUGUGAGAGCAAAUGAGCUGUGUAAUGCAGAUGAAAACAGAGAUUAUUAUUUUGUUGAUCAUUGCAUUAACACCCAACAAAGUUGCACUAAGUUGAUGGAUACAAGCAUGGACAGAAAGGAAGAGCUUAAGAAAAGUAUUCUUUAG